AUGGUCAGCAGCAGCAGCACGGGUGAUGGAGCAUCAGCAGUAGCAACACUGCAAGCAGUUAGCAAGAGAAGAGUAGCAUCACGACGGGCAGGCUCAUGGGAGCAAAGUAGAGAAAUCACCUCGAUCGGGCGGGGAUGGAGCAGCGUCAGGGAAGCAGCGGCGGCGACGGCCCUGCCGCACGAGCAGCGUCGGGGCAGACGAGCAGCAGCAGCAGGGGAAGAUGAGCAGCAGCAGGGGCAGACGAGCUCCACCGGUGGCAGGGGAGAAGCAACCACACGGGCGCGCGGGCAGGGGAGAAGGAGCAGUAGGGGCUCGCGUGGGAGAUCGAGGAGGAAGCACGUGGGCUCCUGGUCCAGUUUCCCGCGACGCCCGAAGGGGAUCACGGCCGGGAGGAACUUCGGUGGCGCACACGCGGGAGCUCGAGGAGGAUCCGCGGGAGCUCAAGGAGGACGUGCUGGAGCUUGA
rnacentral:rRNA from 1 species